UACGGAGGGUGCAAGCGUUGUCCGGAUUUAUUGGGUUUAAAGGGUGCGUAGGUGGCCUAUUAAGUCAGUGGUGAAAGUCUGCAGCUUAACUGUAGGAAUGGCAUUGAUACUGAUAGGCUUGAGUAAAGUUGAGGUAGGCGGAAUUGAAGGUGUAGCGGUGAAAUGCAUAGAUAUCUUCAAGAACACCGAUUGCGAAGGCAGCUUACUAAGCUUUAACUGACACUGAGGCACGAAAGCGUGGGGAGCAAACAGG
rnacentral:rRNA from 1 species